UACGUAGGGUGCGAGCGUUAAUCGGAAUUACUGGGCGUAAAGCGUGCGCAGGCGGGCUUUUAAGCCAGACGUGAAAUCCCCGGGCUUAACCUGGGAAUGGCGUUUGGGACUGGAAGUCUGGAGUGCGGCAGAGGAGACUGGAAUUCCACGUGUAGCAGUGAAAUGCGUAGAGAUGUGGAGGAACACCGAUGGCGAAGGCAGCCUCCUGGGCCAGCACUGACGCUCAUGCACGAAAGCGUGGGGAGCAAACAGG
rnacentral:rRNA from 1 species